GUCUGUCUGCUCUGUUGAAGGGUUCUAAAUGGCACUCCCCGUUUUACUUGCUCAUUGUCACUGUUAUGGGGAUCUGACUAUUGAAUAAGAAAAAGAAAAGAAGAGACAAAGCCUCUUUAUAAAAUGCAGCCCUAUUUCUUCGAUCUCCAAAGAGCUUUUAGCUCCAUCCCUUAAGAAUUCUCAAAGCCAAUGAAGAGCAAAGGGUUGCUCAGACAGCCUACGGCAAAAGAUAAAUCCACCUUUGUUCAGAGGACAGAGACCAAAGGGAUAUGGGCCACUAUCUACCAUUGGAUCGACUAUAUUGAACCUUUACCUACAGCACUAGCUAGUUUUAAAUUAUAUUGCUUGGUAUUUACACGUUCUUUCUAGUUUAAAACUUCAUCUACCCUCAGCAUAGUCCACAGUUAAUGGGCUGGAAAUACAAACUUCCAUUAAUCCUGACCCUCAAUAUUAUUUCUGUAUUAGCAGAAUAAAGAACACAUUCUAUAAAUGGGGAGGGAAGGAGUGGC
rnacentral:lncRNA from 1 species